UACGUAGGGUGCGAGCGUUGUCCGGAUUUAUUGGGCGUAAAGGGCUCGUAGGCGGUCUGUUGCGUCAGGAGUGAAAACUCGGGGCUUAACCCCGAGCCUGCUUCUGAUACGGGCAGACUAGAGGUAUGCAGGGGAGAACGGAAUUCCUGGUGUAGCGGUGAAAUGCGCAGAUAUCAGGAGGAACACCGGUGGCGAAGGCGGCAUCCUGGACCGGUAUUGACGCUGAGGCGCGAAAGCUAGGGGAGCAAACGGG
rnacentral:rRNA from 1 species